rnacentral:rRNA from 1 species
UACGAAGGGGGCUAGCGUUGCUCGGAAUGACUGGGCGUAAAGGGCGCGUAGGCGGCUCUAACAGUCGGGCGUGAAAUUCCUGGGCUCAACCUGGGGGCUACGUUCGAUACGUUAGGGCUGGAGUGGGGAAGAGGGUCGUGGAAUUCCCAGUGUAGAGGUGAAAUUCGUAGAUAUUGGGAAGAACACCGGUGGCGAAGGCGGCGACCUGGUCCUUGACUGACGCUGAGGCGCGAAAGCGUGGGGAGCAAACAGG